rnacentral:rRNA from 1 species
UACAGAGGGUGCUAGCGUUGUUCGGAAUCAUUGGGCGUAAAGGGCGUGUAGGCGGUUUGUUAAGUCAUGUGUGAAAUCCCUCGGCUCAACCGGGGAACGACGCAUGAAACUGGCAAGCUAGAGUACCAAAGAGGGGGGUGGAAUUCCUGGUGUAGCGGUGAAAUGCGUAGAUAUCGGGAGGAACACCUGUGGCGAAGGCGGCUACCUGGCCCAAUACUGACACUCAGGUGCGACAGCGUGGGGAGCAAACAGG